GAUGAACGCUGGCGGCGUGCCUAAUACAUGCAAGUCGAGCGAACAGACGAGGAUCUGGCUCCUCUGACGUUAGCGGCGGACGGGUGAGUAACACGUGGAUAACCUACCUAUAAGACUGGGAUAACUUCGAGAAACCGGAGCUAAGACCGGGUAAUAUAUUUAACCGCAUGGUUCAAUAGUGAAUGACGGGUUUGCUGUCACUUAUAGAUUGAUCCGCGCCGCAUUAGCUAGUUGGUUAGGUAACGGCUUACCAAGGCGGCGAUGCGUAACCGACCCGUGAGGGUGAACGGCCACACUGAGAGUGAGAGGCGGCAUAGACUCUGACGGGAGGCAGAAGUAGGGACUCUUGCGAAAUGGGCGGAAGACUGACGGAGCAACGCAGCGUGAGUGAUGAAGCUCUGCGGAUCGUAAAACUGUGUUAGUAUGGAAGACCAAAUGUGUAAGUAACUAUGCACGUCUUGACGGUAGCUAAUAAGAAAGCCACGGCUAACUACGUG
rnacentral:rRNA from 1 species